UACAGAGGGUGCAAGCGUUAAUCGGAAUUACUGGGCGUAAAGCGCGCGUAGGCGGCUGCCUAAGUCGGGUGUGAGAGCCCCGGGCUCAACCUGGGAACUGCACUCGAUACUGGGCGGCUAGAGUAUGAGAGAGGGAGGUAGAAUUCCACGUGUAGCGGUGAAAUGCGUAGAUAUGUGGAGGAAUACCGGUGGCGAAGGCGGCCUCCUGGUUCAAUACUGACGCUGAGGUGCGAAAGCGUGGGGAGCAAACAGG
rnacentral:rRNA from 1 species